GGAGGAGGGUUCGGGGCGCCAUCACUGUCAUCUCGGGGCGGAGGACUGAGCUCCUGGCCCUCUGUGAGGACUUUAUAACCGGAUUCGCGGCGACGCUGAUUGGCUGCGUUAGGAGCCGCCAACCAAUGCGGGCUGUGACCUGACGACCUGAGUGAUUAUAAUUUGUCCAGGACUAUCGGGGAUCGGAAGUUUAGUAACCGGGUAGACAUGAGGAAACCCUCUCCGCACUCCCGCCCAUCUGGCUUCUUUCAGCAUCAGUUGCAAGGGAGACAGAGAAAACCGCUCUGCUCCCUAGAGCCGAAAGUUUCAACCCGUGAUGCAGCAAAAUUUCUCUGAGCUGAGAAGGUGGAGAUGGCUGAUUGUGGCUCAGUUAAGGUUACUGAGCUGGCUGUCAUUCCGCCAUCUUUUUCCUGCUUGGGACUUGAUUUUAAAAUAGUGCCUGGGGACCUACUCUUUUAAAGAGUUUUUGUGUGUCAAAACAAAUCAACAACAAAUGAAAUGAAAUGAAAACCCACAGAAUGGGAAAGACAGCCAGCAACCCCUGGCUAUAAGUGCUUUAGUCAAAGCACUUAUAUCCGGAACAUACAAAGUAUUCAAAAUCAUCAAGCCCCCAAAUUCAAAGACCCUCUCCAAAAAUGGGCAUCUGAGAUGAACACACAGUUCUCAGAGGACGAUAUACAAAUGGCAAAUAAAUACAUGAAGAAAUGUUCACCAUUACUGGUCAUUCAAGAAAUGCAAUUUAAAACAGCACUGAGAUUUCAUCUCAUUCCAGAAAGAAUACCUGCCAUCAAGAAAUCAACUAAUAGUGGCUGGGGAUUUAGCUCAGUGGCAUAAGCGCCUGCCUUGCAAGUGUGUGGUCAAGAGUUUGAUCCCUGGUACUGAUUUUAAAAAAAAGACAAAAUCAAAGCAAAACAAGAAAGAAAUCAACUGAUAACAAAUGUUGGCAAGACUGCGGAAAAACGGAACACUGCUCCACUAUUGGCGGGAGUGCAGACCAGUGCAGCUACGAUGGAAAUCAGUAUGGAGAUUCCUCAACAAGCUAGGAUUACAAGUUCCAUUGAAUCCAUCUAUUCCUCUCCUGCCUAUUUUCCAAGAAAAACUGAAAAGGUCAUGCCUCAGUGCACCCAGGUUUAUAAAGCAGCACAAUUUGUACUAGCUAAAUCUUGGAAACAACCAAAAUGCCCAUCAACCACAGAAUGGAGGAAAAAGGUGUGGCAUUUUUUCACAAUGGAAUAUUACUCAGCUAUGAAAAAGGAUGUUCUUGAGGCUUUUAUAGGUAAAUGGAGGCAACUUGAGUCUGUCCGCAUAAGUGAAAUAAAUCACACUCACAUGUGUAAAUAUAGUAUUGUCUCUCUAGUAUAAAAAUAAUAACAAAAAACUGAAAAAGUAAUAAGAUCCAAAAAGUAUACCAGAUAUUGUGAUAUGACAGGGAAAGAAAGUGCUGUAAAGGAUAUCAUUCCAUGUAUAAGUGUGUAAGACAGAUAACCGUACUACUAAGUUUUUGUUAGUUCAUCAGAUUUGUUUACACUGUCAUUCUUUGAUUGUCCAAUUUUUAUGCUUUGAUUUUUGUGACUUGAGCAACUAUUUCCAAGAGAACAGUAUGUAAUUUAUUAACUAGUGAUUUCUUACUGCUUUUUAAAAUUCUGUAUUAUUUCUACCCUUUUUUGUUUUUUUUCUCUAAAUAAAAUAAAAUAGUUCCUGAAACCAA